GAGGGGUUGGGUUAGCUCCCCUAGCGAGCGCCAACCCCUGGUGGUCUAGUUGCCAGCAGGGAUCAUGCCGGGCAACUCUAGCACAGGACCGCCGGCGUUAAGCCGGAGGAAGGCGGGGAUGACGUCGAGUCCUCAUGGCCCUUAUGCUUGGGGCUGCACACGUACUACAAUGGGGCGGACAGAGCGAUGCCAACCCGCAAGGGUGAGCCAAUCGCAGAAACCGCCCCUCAGUUCGGAUUGCGGGCUGCAACCCGCCCGCAUGAAGCUGGAAUCGCUAGUAAUCGCGGAUCAGCAUGCCGCGGUGAAUGUGUUCCUGAGCCUUGUACACACCGCCCGU
rnacentral:rRNA from 1 species